rnacentral:rRNA from 1 species
AGGACGAACGCUGGCGGCGUGCCUAACACAUGCAAGUCGAGCGGGGACAUACGACGGAUCGGAAGUUUCGGAUGGAAGUGAAGAUGUAUGUUCUAGGCGGCGGACGGGUGAGUAACGCGUGAGCAACCUGUCCUUCACAGGGGGAUAACACAGCGAAAGUUGUACUAAUACCGCAUAAGACCACGGCGGGGCAUCCCGAAGGGGUCAAAGGAGCAAUCCGGUGAAGGGUGGGCUCGCGUCCGAUUAGAUAGUUGGUGAGGUAACGGCCCACCAAGUCGACGAUCGGUAGCCGACCUGAGAGGGUGAUCGGCCACAUUGGGACUGAGACACGGCCCAAACUCCUACGGGAGGCAGCAGUGGGGAAUAUUGGGCAAUGGGGGGAACCCUGAACCCCCAGCAACGCCGCGUGAGGGAAGAAGGUUUUCGGAUCGUAAACCUCUGUCCUAUGUGAAGAGGAAGAGACGGUAGCAUAGGAGGAAGCCCCGGCUAACUACGUGCCAGCCGCAGC